rnacentral:rRNA from 1 species
GGAAGUGGCGGCAUGCUUUAACAUGCAGUCGGACGGCAGCACAGAGAAGCUUGCUUCUUGGGUGGCGAGUGGCGAACGGGUGAGUAAUAUAUCGGAACGUACCGAGUAAUGGGGGAUAACUAAUCGAAAGAUUAGCUAAUACCGCAUAUUCUCUGAGGAGGAAAGCAGGGGACCUUCGGGCCUUGCGUUAUUCGAGCGGCCGAUAUCUGAUUAGCUAGUUGGUGGGGUAAAGGCCUACCAAGGCGACGAUCAGUAGCGGGUCUGAGAGGAUGAUCCGCCACACUGGGACUGAGACACGGCCCAGACUCCUACGGGAGGCAGCAGUGGGGAAUUUUGGACAAUGGGCGCAAGCCUGAUCCAGCCAUGCCGCGUGUCUGAAGAAGGCCUUCGGGUUGUAAAGGACUUUUGUCAGGGAAGAAAAGGCUGUUGCUAAUACCGACAGCUGAUGACGGUACCUGAAGAAUAAGCACCGGCUAACUACGUGCCAGCAGCCGCGGUAAUACGUAGGGUGCGAGCGUUAAUCGGAAUUACUGGGCGUAAAGCGAGCGCAAACGGUUACUUAAGCAGGAUGUGAAAUCCCCGGGCUCAACCUGGGAACUGCGUUCUGAACUGGGUGACUAGAGUGUGUCAAAGGGAGGUAGAAUUCCACGUGUAGCAGUGAAAUGCGUAGAGAUGUGGAGGAAUACCGAUGGCGAAGGCAGCCUCCUGGGAUAACACUGACGUUCAUGCUCGAAAGCGUGGGUAGCAAACAGGAUUAGAUACCCUGGUAGUCCACGCCCUAAACGAUGUCAAUUAGCUGUUGGGCAACUUGAUUGCUUAGUAGCGUAGCUAACGCGUGAAAUUGACCGCCUGGGGAGUACGGUCGCAAGAUUAAAACUCAAAGGAAUUGACGGGGACCCGCACAAGCGGUGGAUGAUGUGAUUAUUUCGAUGCAACGCGAAGAACCUUACCUGGUCUUGACAUGUACGGAAUCCUCCAGAGACGGAGGAGUGCCUUCGGACGUACACAGGUGCUGCAUGCUGUCGUCAGCUCGUGUCGUGAGAUGUGGGUAGUCCCGCAACGAGCGCAUCCUUGUCAUAGUGCAUCAUUAGUUGACACUCUAUGAACUGCGUGACAGCGAGAGUGGGAUGACGUCAGUCUCAUGCCUAUGACAGGCUCACGUCUACAUGUCGUACAGGUCACUAGUCGAGGUGACUAUUCCAAAACCGAAUUCGUAUC